rnacentral:tRNA from 1 species
GGGGUUGUGGCUCAGUGGUAGAGCACUUGCCUAGAAUACAUGAGGCCCUAGGUUCAAUUCAGCACCA